AUUGAACGCUGGCGGCAGGCCUAACACAUGCAAGUCGAGCGGAUGAAGGGAGCUUGCUCCUGGAUUCAGCGGCGGACGGGUGAGUAAUGCCUAGGAAUCUGCCUGGUAGUGGGGGAUAACGUCCGGAAACGGGCGCUAAUACCGCAUACGUCCUGAGGGAGAAAGUGGGGGAUCUUCGGACCUCACGCUAUCAGAUGAGCCUAGGUCGGAUUAGCUAGUUGGUGGGGUAAAGGCCUACCAAGGCGACGAUCCGUAACUGGUCUGAGAGGAUGAUCAGUCACACCUGAAAUGGAACAAGGUCCAGACUCCUAACGGAGGCAGCAGUUGGGAAUAUUGGACCAUGGGGGAAAGCCUGAUCCAGGCCUGCCGCGGGGGUGAAGAAAGUCUUCGGAUUUUUAAGCAAUUUAAGUUGGGAAGAAGGGCAGUAAGUUUAAACCUUGCUUUUUUGACGUUACCAACCAAAUAAGCACCGGCUAACUUCGUG
rnacentral:rRNA from 1 species